AAGGAGUGGACCGAGGAAGGAAGGAAGGCGUGGCUCUCCGUCCGUCUCUCCGUCUGUC
rnacentral:miRNA from 1 species